rnacentral:rRNA from 1 species
CCCUUAGAUGUUCUGGGCCGCACGCGCGCUACACUGAUGCAUUCAACGAGUUUUACCUUGGCCGAGAGGCCUGGGCAAUCUUUUAAACCUGCAUCGUGAUAGGGAUAGAUUAUUGCAAUUAUUAAUCUUGAACGAGGAAUUCCUAGUAAACGCAGAUCAUCAAUCUGCAUUGAUUACGUCCCUGCCCUUUGUACACACCGCCCGUCGCACCUACCGAUUGAAUGGUCCGGUGAAGCCUCGGGAUUGUGGCCAGUUCACUUUAUUGGGAGUUGGCUGCGAGAACUUGUCUAAACCUUAUCAUUUAGAGGAAUGUGAAGUCGUAACA